CAGACUUGAAGAACACGGCAGGAGAGAAGAAGAGAGAGCAUCUCUGAAUUUGUUGAGUGAAUAUUUAAACUCCUGUAGAUAUUGAAUCUAAGGAAACAUUUGAAAAAUGAUUGGACAUAAAAUACUUCUGCUACUUCUGAUUAUUAGUUUGGGGAGCUGUCAACUCUUUGAAAUUCCAGCUCCCACAGCUGCUCUGCCAACAACCACUGCAGCUCCUACAACAACCACAGCUAGUGCUGCAACAACCACAGCUGUCCCAGCAACAACCACAGCUGCUUCUACAACAACCACAGCUGCUUCUUCAACAAUAGCCACAGCCAGUGCCAUGACAACCACA